AGCUCAAAUAGUUGAGAACCUCCUCUUCCUCCCUCCUCCCUCCCUCUCUCACUUCCUCCUUUUUCUCCUCUGCCUCCCUUUCUCCCCUUUCUCUCGUUUCUGCAGUCUUUCUUCCAGGUUCUGGGCUAAAGACGGGACAAAUCGUUGUGAACAAGCCUUCAUGCUCCUGGCGUCCACAAGGUCAUAGUGGAGAAAUGGAGACAGGAAAGGACCUUACAGAGAACACAGGAUGCAUCUGAAAAUCCUGGACCCCACUAGAAGGAUGGGACUUGGUGGGAGAGGACGGUGGUUCAGCUGGUGGGAACAGCAUGCAUCAGAAACCUGGGUGCAUCGCAGGAUUUGGCCGCAUCCGGGAGUGGUGAGAAUUUCUGCGUGAUGGGCGCCCGUGAUGCCCCGCUGCGCAGCACUAGGAGGAGCCGAACCUGGAAGGGGCUGGGUCGGAUUUGACAGGGGAGGGGCACCUGGAUUUUAUCCUGGAGCCUGUGGGUGUUUAAAGAAAAUGUUUGCCGACUCCCGUCUCUUAAAUUCUGGGAAGAGAGAGAACAUUCAUAAUCACUGAGCCAAGGAGCGGCCGGCACUUUCAGAUGUCCUGUUAUUUACCUUGACCAUGACGUUGCCAAGGUCACCAAUGGGGAAAGGAGGCCGUGAGAAGUCGAAUGGCCUCCGAAGUGGCCCUAGGGUCCAGCCUCGGUCCUCUACACCAGCCAGGUGACCGUGCAGCCAAGUGACAGGCAGAUCAGGAACGUCAGGCUCUGUCCUUUCUCUGGUCUGUGGAUUCUGCUAUUUAAACCCCAAACAGGAGUCCCCCUUGUGGCUCAGUGGAAAUGAAUCUGACUAGCAUCCAUGAGGACACAGGUUCGAUCCCUGGCCUCACUCAGUGGGUUAAGGAUCCAGCGUUGCCUUGAGCUGUGGUGUAGGUUGCCAACACGGCUCGGAUCCUGCAUGGUUGUGGCUGUGGUGUAGGCUGGCAGCAGUAGCUCCGAUUGGACCCCUAGCCUGGGAAACUCCAUAUGCCUCGGGUGCAGCCCUAAAAAGCAAAAAAUAAAAAUAAACCUGAAACAGUCA
rnacentral:lncRNA from 1 species